UACGAAGGGGGCUAGCGCUGCUCGGAAUCACUGGGCGUAAAGGGUGCGUAGGCGGGCCUUUAAGUCAGGGGUGAAAUCCUGGAGCUCAACUCCAGAACUGCCUUUGAUACUGAAGAUCUUGAGUUCGGGAGAGGUGAGUGGAACUGCGAGUGUAGAGGUGAAAUUCGUAGAUAUUCGCAAGAACACCAGUGGCGAAGGCGGCUCACUGGCCCGAUACUGACGCUGAGGCACGAAAGCGUGGGGAGCAGACAGG
rnacentral:rRNA from 1 species